GAUGAACGCUGGCGGCGUGCCUAAUACAUGCAAGUCGAGCGAACAGACGAGGAGCUUGCUCCUCUGACGUUAGCGGCGGACGGGUGAGUAACACGUGGAUAACCUACCUAUAAGACUGGGAUAACUUCGGGAAACCGGAGCUAAUACCGGAUAAUAUAUUGAACCGCAUGGUUCAAUAGUGAAAGACGGUUUUGCUGUCACUUAUAGAUGGAUCCGCGCCGCAUUAGCUAGUUGGUAAGGUAACGGCUUACCAAGGCGACGAUGCGUAGCCGACCUGAGAGGGUGAUAGGCCACACUGGAACUGAGAAACGGUCCAGACUCCUACGGGAGGCAGCAGUAGGGAAUCUUCCGCAAUGGGCGAAAGCCUGACGGAGCAACGCCGCGUGAGUGAUGAAGGUCUUCGGAUCGUAAAACUCUGUUAUUAGGGAAGAACAAAUGUGUAAGUAACUAUGCACGUCUUGACGGUACCUAAUCAGAAAGCCACGGCUAACUACGUG
rnacentral:rRNA from 1 species